rnacentral:rRNA from 1 species
UACGUAGGGUGCAAGCGUUAAUCGGAAUUACUGGGCGUAAAGCGUGCGCAGGCGGUUUUGUAAGACAGGCGUGAAAUCCCCGGGCUUAACCUGGGAACUGCGUUUGUGACUGCAAGGCUAGAGUGUGGCAGAGGGGGGUAGAAUUCCGCGUGUAGCAGUGAAAUGCGUAGAUAUGCGGAGGAAUACCGAUGGCGAAGGCAGCCCCCUGGGUCAACACUGACGCUCAUGCACGAAAGCGUGGGGAGCAAACAGG